rnacentral:lncRNA from 10 species
CCGCGUCCUCCGCCGCCCGCCGCCCGUCCCUUCGGAAGCGCCGAUUCCUCGGGGAGGAGGAGGCGUGAGGGGAGGCGGCGGAGGCAGCCGGCACGGGGCGCUCGGGCCGCGGGGCAGGGGGCGCGGGGUGCCUCCUCGGCCUCGGCUCUCCCCGCCCCGGGGCGCCCCGAGACCGCCGCCUGCCUCCGCGGGCAGCUUUGUUCUUCUUUCCUCCAACUACCUGUCUGAGCCGCGGGCCCCAGAGGCCCCAAAGAGAGGCCCGGAGGGUCUCCCCAGCAGCAUCCGAGGGGCGCUCUCGGGGAGCUAGGGGCCAGAGUCCGCGGUCCCUCCGUGCCUGCCUCCCUCCCCUCGUGCCUCGGUCUUUUGUUGCCUCUACUCCUCGGCACGGCGCAGCCUGGGCUCUCUUCCCCCUCCCGCUUGGGAGUUUGCAGUGUGGACGCUCGGCAAGCACAAGUGCCAAGCAAGGAGAAUACAGCAGCUCACACUUAAGACUCAAACUCCCCAAUGGCUUGCAGGUAAGGGUUUUUAACAGAAGGGAUAAAUUUCAGGAAAACAAAUUAUAGGCAAAAUCAUAAAUCAAUAUAUGGAAGUUAUACAUUGGUUUGGCCUAAAAAGGCAGAAUAUCUUGAAGUGGGGUCUUACAGGUCAUAGACAGAUUCAAAGAUUUUCUGAUUUGCAAUUGGUUAAAGAAGGGAAUCUUUGUCUAAAGACUUGGAAUCAGCAGAAAAGAAUAUGAGAUCUGACUCGUGGUUGUUGCUUCCUCCACGCCCCUCAGAAAGAAACUUCGAACAACGCAUGGCAGUCAGAGUUCAGUCUACAGCCCCCCGUCAUCUGAGGUCUCCGUGCCAGUGGGUCCAUUUGGUGGGGGUCUGAGUUUCUGAAAACUCAGGGACAUAUAUUAUAACAUUAUCUUCACUUUCUCGAGGGAACCAAUGUCUCCUGAUUCUAGCUUCCUUGGCUAUUGUUUUAAGCUACUGUUACCUUCUCACUUACCAAGUUGCUCAUUUACUUCUUAGGAAUAGCUAGGUGCCUGGAAUUUCCCUUGAAGGAACUCAAGAUUUUCCUUUGAAAGCAGGGGUCCCUGCUUCAUCUCAGUUUCAUAAUAAAAGAAUCGAAGAUAACAAAUAUACACCAUGGAUACAACCUCAGUACCAAGCUUAGCAUGAAGUGGGAAUUCAAAAAUAAUAAUUAACAGUGUCAUCUAUUAAGACAAAACAUUUUGAGACAAUUAUGGAUUCACCCAUAAUUCCAGUAUGUCCUUUUUUUUUAAAGAAGUCUUUUAUAGUCGUGUUCUAUGGAGUUCUUUUCACAGCUUAAUUUUCUUCAAAUCAUUAUUAUUUCUCCUUCUUGUUUUCUUCAGUUUCAGUGCCAGUUAAAAGAAGUUGUACUCUAGCUAGUUUGAUUUUUUAAGUAGAUGCAGAGCUAAAUUUUUGCCUCAGGAUACAUUUUCCAAAUUCUCCUCCACCUCCUCAGUUUCCACCUCCUGUUAAAAGCACCUCCAUCAACCCUCACUUAGACAUUGCCUACUUGGGGGUUUUUGUCUUACCUUUGCAUUGAUCGCAUGAUUCCUGAGGACAAGGAUUCUGAGCUCUCUCAGAGGGCAAAGUACAUUGAGUUUGUUGCUUGUCUUAGGCAACAUUUUAAAGUAGGAGAAUAUAGAGCUCUCCUCUGAUGUCUGCAGCCUUCCCGGUUUUACCCCAUAAUUCUAAAACAAGAAUAGUAAAAAUCCCACCUCUCAUCCACUUGGGUCUGACUCUAUAGGACUUCUUAGGUGUUAUCCAGGUAAUUUGAUCAAUUAAUUAUAUUAAGAGGAAUCUUCUGGAAGCUGCUCCUAGAAGACUUGCCAAGCUCUCCCACAGACAAUGGCCUCCACCUUCUCCUUUUGUUAUCUAACCCCCAAGCGACUCAAGGGAUCUGAAUUUCAGAGUGAGUAGUGGUGGGGUCAGGCUGGUGGGGAACCUAUUUGAAAUGUUUGCACCGGCUUCCUGCCCAAUGGGUCGAAAGAGCUAUUUGAAUUUUGUGGCAAAAAAAAUUCUGUAUGCCUAAAAGAUGCCAGAUGGAGAAGGAAGUGGUGUGUUUAGCCACAGGAGAGAUACUGCAUGGAUAAUAGGUUCUCUACCCGCUUUUUGUCAACGUCAACAUCAGCUUGUCAGUCUGUUAGGUCGAUCAUAUGUAAGAAUAAUUCUCAGCAUUCAUCAACUGCUGAGACCUUCCCAAACCUAAUUUUAUUCUCAAGACAAACCUGUCAAUGAGGUUUUAUUGAUUGUUUCCAUCAUACACAUGGAGAAAUGGAGGCAGAGGUUUAGAGAGAAAAACAUGAGUCAGAGUGGGAAGGGAAUUAACCCAGGGGACAGUCUCUAUAGUUCUUCCCUCUGAGUUUGCUACAAAAAUAUUAUUUAUAAAUCAUUUGAAAUGGUGAUAACACUGAGCCCGCCAAUUCAAUCAAGAAACAGCCUCUAUGUUGUAGCUCCAUUUAUUUUUCACUGGCCAGAGGUAGUGCUGAGGUAACAAUUGUAAAGGUGAGAAGUCACAACUUCUAUUACGGAUAUCUAGGGAUACCUACUGAGGACGACUUGCCUGAGAGCUUAUGCUCCCAGCAUUGGUGAGAAGUGCUUUCUCCUUGCUGGCUUUGAGCCACUUCCCAGAGGAGUUCCUGCUCCUCUGUUUAGAAAUUGCAGAGUGGGUGUGGGCGUGCCAUGUUUCUUAAGUUGCCUAAGACCCAAAAGGUUAUUUUUAAAAAUGUAAAUAUACACCCAAACUCAUUGAAAUAAUGGUAAUGGGAAGAUUGAGCUGAAGACCGUGAUUGAGAAAUGCACGUUACCAUGGUAAUAACAGGGUGGGCAAGGCUAACUCUGGCCCUUCCACAUUUAUUUUAAACCAGUAGUUCUCAAAUAGUAGCGUGCAUCGGAAUACCCUAGAGGGCUUGUUAAGAAACAAGUUACCAGCCCCACCCCCAGACUUUCUAAUUUAGUAGAUCUGGAGUGGGCCUUAUAAUUUGCAUUUCUAACCAGUUCCCAGGUCUAGCCCUAGGGCCAAAUCCAUGUUUUCACCUGUUUUUGUAAGGUCUGCAAAUUAGUAAUAGUUUUUACAGAUGAACCUUUGCAAAUGAUUCCAUGAUAGGCAACACUAAUUUUGAACCCCAAUUAAGCAAAAUUCUGUCCCCCCUCACAAUUACAUUCUUUUCAUUAGUAGACCUGCAUUACACAAAAAUUGUACCCAAUAUUACAGUUUGAAUUUCAUCAAUGAAAACUUAGUGGAAUUUUGUUUUUCUCCCUUGUUAUAUAAUAACUACCCAGAUAAGAUGCUCAAUUUUGUUUCUUGGCCCACAAAGCCUAAAGUAUUUAUUCUCUAGACUGUUAAAGAAAAAAUUGCAGACCCCUGGCUUAACUGAUGCUGCUGAUGUGGGGAUGACUUUGAGAACCACGUAAGCCAUUUGCUAAGCUAAGUGUAGUAAACCCUCCUUCCACUGAUUUAAUACAAUUCCACGGGCCCAACUGUCCUGGACUAUCACACAAUGCCGAGAGAGAGGCACCACCCCUCAACCUACAAUGUUCCCCUCCAGGGAGCGAAGCUGCGGAGUCUAAAAACGUGAGGCAGUGGCUCAGCGUAGAGAAAGGAUAUUCCAAAACAUCUAAUGGGCACAACUGUAAGGGAAGUAACAUUUGUUUUGGGUGUUGUCCCACCUCUCAUUCUAAGCUGUUCCCAUCCCAGAUGCUGGGGACUCUGGGGAUUCUCUGACUCUGCAAUGUCCCCAACUCCUGCUCUCCAGUCAGACCUGCACCAUUGCAUCUGCAGCUAGCUCUGCAGUCAUGCCCCAAGUAAAUGCUGGUUAAGUAAUCUGAUUAUAAUCUUAGAAUUUAUAAGUCUGUGAUUUAUAUCAAAUAUUCAUGGUGUAUAUGACAGCUUCCUUUGUCAUAUGAUAUAGAAAUAUCUGUUACAUUAUAUAGAAAUUAGUGCACUGAAAAAAGUUUACUUUUUAAAAAAUCUUGACUAUUUUUGUCCCCACUCUUUAAUUCUGCUGUCAUUAGGAGAUUCUCAUAUUUAAAAGUGCUCAAAGCAAGGUAUUCUGUUGUAG